UACAGAGGGUGCUAGCGUUGUUCGGAAUCAUUGGGCGUAAAGGGCGUGUAGGCGGUUUGUUAAGUCAUGUGUGAAAUCCCUCGGCUCAACCGGGGAACGACGCAUGAAACUGGCAAGCUAGAGUACCAAAGAGGGGGGUGGAAUUCCCGGUGUAGCGGUGAAAUGCGUAGAUAUCGAGAGGAACACCGGUGGCGAAGGCGGCUUCCUGGACAGUGACUGACGCUGAGACGCGAAAGCGUGGGGAGCAAACAGG
rnacentral:rRNA from 1 species